CACAGAGCUGGUGCUACAAGUAAGUUACCUUUUUGUUGACCCCAUCCAGGUUUUCAGAAAGUUACCCGAUGCUUUGUUUGGUACUCAUUCAAGUGUACCGCACAGACGAAAUCUCUCAGGGCCGAGCUCUCCAGCCCUAAGAAACAUGACAGUCACCCAGCGGACGUGUUACACGCGCAAAUUCCUGGCUCGACUCCAGAGAUUCUCGGAGUGUCUGGGGCAGGGGCGCAGGCAUCUGCGUGACUCCGAAGUACCCUAGUGGUCGUUUCUGGCAAGAGUGUUUAUUAACGGCCUGGCAGGUGCCAGGUCCUGCACUAGGCACAGAGAUAAAACAGUGAACGACAGAUCUGAUCGUGCCCCCAUGGAGUUUACAUUCUAACAAAGGAAAACAGACCACGGCAUAACUACUGGUUGUGGUGUCAACUGCCAUUCUCUGCUUCUCCCUGCAUAUUCCUGUGGUUCAAAACACUCCCCUAAUCCAAGACUGAAAUUGAGAAAACAAUUCCAUUUACAAGAGUAUCAAAAAGAAAAACUACUUAAGAAUAAAUUUAACCAAGGACAUCUAGCACAUGUACACUGAAAAAAACAGAACACUGAAAUUAAAGAAGAUCCAAUUAAAUGGAAAGACAUUCUGUGUUCAUGAGUUGGAAUAUUUAAUAUUGUUAAGAUGGUAAAACUGCCCAGAUGAAUAUGCAGAUUCAGUGCAAUCCCUAUCAAAUCCUCUUUGCAGAAAUGGGAAAGUUCAGCCUAAAAUUCAAAAUGAAAAUGCUAGAGGCCUUGAAUAGCCAAAACUACUUCUUUGUUCUUUGAAAAGAGGAACAAAGUUGGAAGAUUCGCACUUCCUGAUUUCAAAACUCACUACAAAUUUACAGUAUCCAAAACAAUGUGGUACUGACAAAAAGGCAGACCUAUAGAUCGAUGGGAGAAAAUUGAAAGUCCAGAAAUAAACCUAUGCAUCUGUGGUCUGCUGAUUUCUCACAGGGUUUCUAUGACCAUUGAAUGGAAGAAAGAAUAGACUUUUCAACAAAUGGGACCAGAACAACUGGAUAUCCACAUGCAAAAGAAUGAAUCCAGAUGUCUACCUCACACCAUAUACAGAAAUUAACUUAAAAUGUAUCAAUGAACUAAAUAGAAAUCUCUCAAGGGAAAAUAGGUAUACAUUUUCAUGACAUUAGAUUAGGCAAUGGUUUCUUAAAUAUGACCCCAAAAGCAAAAACAACAAAAUAAAAAUAAAGUGCACUUUAUAAAAAUUAAAAACUUUCAUGCAUCAAAGGACAUUAUCAAGAAAGUGAAAAGACAAUCCACAGAAUGGGAGAGAUACUUGAAAAUCACAUAUCUGGUAAGGAUCUAGUAUCUAGAAUGUAAAAAGAAUUCCUAUAAUUGGAUACCAAAAAGAUAAGCAACACAAUUUAAAAAAAGGGCACAGGAAUUUGAAUAAACAUUUCUCCCAAGAGGAUAUGUAUAUGACCAAUAAACAUGUGAAAAGAUUCUCAACAUCAGUAGUCAUUAGGGAAAUGCAAAUCAAAGCCACAGUGAGCUAUCACUUCAUAUCCACUGGCAUGGCAAUAAUAAUUACAAAAACAGUAACAGCAGUCAAGUAAGUGUUGGUGGGGACAUUGAGAAAUUGGAACUGUCACACACGGUGGGGAUGUAAAUGGUGCUGUGCGUGUGUGUUGAGUCACUCAGUCAUGUCCGACUCUGCGACCCUAUGGACUGUAGCCCACUGGACUCCUCUGUCCAUGGGAUUCUCCAGGCAAGAAUACUGGAGUGGGUUGCCAUUCCCUUCUCCAGGGGAAUCUUUCCAACCCAGGGACUGAACCCGGGUCUCCUGCAUUGCAGGCGGAUUCCUUACUGUCUGAGCCACUAGGGAAGCCCAAAAUGGUGCUGCCAUUGUGGAAAUUAUUUUGGUAGCACCUUAAGAAGUUAAACACAGAGUUACCAUAUGGCCCAGCAACUCCACUGCUAAGUAUAUGUUCACAGUAAAACACGAAUACAAAUAUUCACAGCAGCAUUAUUCAUAAAGUCAAAAUUAAAAACAGCCCAAACAUCCAUGACUGGAUGAAUGGAAUAAAGCCAAUGUCAUAUAUCUACAAAAUGGAAUACUAACAACUAUCAAUAGGUAUGGAAUACUGAUACAUGUUGCAACAUGGAUGAGUCUGGAAAACAUGCCAAGUGAAAGAAGCCAGAUACAAAAGACCAUGUUUUGUAUAAUCCUAUUUAUGUGAAAUCUCUAGAACAAGUCUAUACAAAAGUCUAUACAGACAGAAAGUAAAUUAAUGAUUACCUAGCACUGUGGGAGGGGAGAAUUGGGAGUGACAGCUCAUGGGUGUGGAGUUCUUUUUGGCUGAUGGAAAUGAGCUGAAAUUAUACAGUGGUGACGGCUGCACAACAUGAAUGUACUAAAACCUCUCAAAUCGCACACUUUAAAAUGGCUGAAAGAGGCACAAACUUCCAGUCACACGUAUGAAAUGUACAGUGUGAGGGAUAUAGUCAAUAGUUAUGUAAUAUCUUUGUAUGGAGACAGAUGGUAGCUAGACCUGCCGUGGUCAUUUUGUAGAGAAAUACUGAAUUGCUAUGUUGUGUAAUAGGAACUAACACAGUGUUGUAGGUUAAUUAUACUUCAAAAACAAACUCAAAGAAAAAAAAGACCAAAUUGGUGGUUACCAGAGGCAGGGAUGGAGGUAGUCAAAAGGUACAAAAUUCCACUUGUAAGAUAAAAAAGUACUAGGGCUGUAAGGUACAACAUGAUUAAUAUAAUUAACACCAUUGUAUGUCCCAUAUGAAAGCUGCUAUUAAAGAGUAAAUCCUGAGUUCUCAUCAUAAGGAUAAAUUCUUUUUCUACUUCUUUUUUAAUUUAUAUGCAGUGAUGGAUGUUCACUAAAUUUAUUGUGGGAAUCAUUCCAUGAUGUAUAUAAGUCAAAUCGUUAUGCUGUACAUCUUAAGCUUCUGUCAAUUAUAUCUCAGUGACACUGGAAAGAAAAAAAUAAAAUAG